ACGGGUGAGUAAUGUCUGGGGAUCUGCCCGAUAGAGGGGGAUAACCACUGGAAACGGUGGCUAAUACCGCAUAACGUCGCAAGACCAAAGAGGGGGACCUUCGGGCCUCUCACUAUCGGAUGAACCCAGAUGGGAUUAGCUAGUAGGCGGGGUAACGGCCCACCUAGGCGACGAUCCCUAGCUGGUCUGAGAGGAUGGCCAGCCACACUGGAACUGAGACACGGUCCAGACUCCUACGGGAGGCAGCAGUGGGGAAUAUUGCACAAUGGGCGCAAGCCUGAUGCAGCCAUGCCGCGUGUAUGAAGAAGGCCUUCGGGUUGUAAAGUACUUUCAGCGGGGAGGAAGGCGAUGUGGUUAAUAACCGCAUUGAUUGACGUUACCCGCAGAAGAAGCACCGGCUAACUCCGUGCCAGCAGCCGCGGUAAUACGGAGGGUGCAAGCGUUAAUCGGAAUUACUGGGCGUAAAGCGCACGCAGGCGGUCUGUUAAGUCAGAUGUGAAAUCCCCGGGCUUAACCUGGGAACUGCAUUUGAAACUGGCAGGCUUGAGUCUCGUAGAGGGGGGUAGAAUUCCAGGUGUA
rnacentral:rRNA from 1 species